UUCUGAGGAGGAGAAGCAAGAAGGAUCGGAGGACCAAGAUGCAGCGUGGAUUCUACCAGGACAGCCCACACAAAUACAGAUAUCUGAAUUGGUUAGGCCCAGAGUGUUGAUGUUGGGCUUCCUGGGAGGAAGGGUGUACUCCUGCCCAUACUGCCCCCUGCAGGGGCUCACAGACAUGAUACUGGUCCAGCACUGUGUCGGCAGCCACACAGGAGAGAAUGCUCCAGCUGUGUGUCCCAUCUGUGCUGCCACUGUUUGAGGCAGUGCUAGUUACUGCAGCCGAAACCUCAUCGGUCACCUGGCUAUCAGGCAUUAUUUCAGCUAUGACACCUACAUGAAUGUAGGGGAGGACGAUUACACCCAACUCUGCCUUGCCAUUCAGCAGUCACUGCGACAAGGCACCGGCAUCACAGAGUGACAACAAGGCCCUAAGAGAGCUACACAUUAUGUUCCAACACAAUACAUACCUCUUCAACCGUUCCUUGCCACAUCAAUGAUGUCUAUGAUGUUACUUAUUGUGUGUGUAUCCUGUUUCUUUUCUCUCCUUCUCCCCUCACAGGUGGCAACUACAUAGGCAACUACAUGUCACUUUGUCCCCACCUGUGAGUUUUGUUAUGGUGUUUGACUGUUUGUUUGAUGGUGGGAAAAGGGGGUACCAAGACAAGUUGCCUAUGGGCCUACAUUACCCGUAGGAAUACUUUGUCUAAAUACCCUAGUUCGAACUGGGCGGACCACCCGCUGUAUUUUUGGUUAGUUAGUUAGCUGUAUUGAAGUAGGCUAGUCUAGUUUAGGGGUGUAUUUGGAUAUUUGUUUCUUUCCUUGGGUCCAGCUCAGCCCCUUUUCCUGCCCCCCUUUGCCGUGUGUUUAAAAAUAAACCCUGAGUGUUUGACGGUAA